CCAUGCAAGUCGAGCGGUAACAGAAAGAACUUUGCUUCUCUGCUGACGAGCGGGACACGGGAGAAUAGCACUUGGAAAUUUGUUUUUAAGGGGGGGACCACCACUGGAAAACGGGGCUAACCCCGUAUAGUGUCCACGGCCCACGGGGGGGGACCUUCGGGCCUCACACCUGACCAUGAGCCCUUACGUAAUUGGCUAGGUGGUGGGUUACCGGCUCACCAAUGUCACGAUGCCUAGAUGUUCUGAUAGGAUGAUCUGCCACUGUGGGACUGACACAACGCCCACACUCCUACGGGAGGCAGAAUAGGGGAAUAUGGCACAAUGCCGGAAGCCCUGAUGCCGCCAUGGCGAGUGAGGGAAUAAGGCCUUCAGGUUGUUUCGCACUUUCAGAGAAGAGGAAAGGUAGAUACUGAUUACCUUUCCCUUUUGACCUUAACAACCAACGAAUCACCCCCUAACUCCGUGCCCGCAACCACGGAAAUACCGAGGGUGCAUCCGAUUUUCUGGAUUACUGGCCGUAACGGGUACGUUGGCGGUGUGUAAGGCUAAAUGCCGAAGCCCCCCUGUCAUGCUGAUAUUAACAUGUAAAACUGGAACGCUGGAGACCUGAAUAGAGUGCCAGGAUUUCCGGUGUAAUGCUGAAAUGUCUAGAUAUUGAAAGGAAUACAAGUCGACACCGUGGCCACCUGCUCACACACUGACGCUAAAGUGCGAGAGCCUGACGAGAUUACAUGAUUAGAUACCCUGCACCGCCACCCCGGACACCAUGUCAACUAUGUGUUCGUGACAUGAAUACGUGAGUUACCCAGCUAACGCACUAAGUUGGCCGCCUGGGGCGCAAGGUCAAAAGGUUAAAACUCAGACGAAUUGA
rnacentral:rRNA from 1 species